rnacentral:rRNA from 1 species
GUCUACGGCCACACCACCCUGAACACACCCGAUCUCGUCUGAUCUCGGAAGCUAAGCAGGGUCGGGCCUGGUUAGUACUUGGAUGGGAGAAUAUGUCAAAACCUAGCCAAUGACA